CAAAAGCAUAGAGCUGGGAAACAGAAGGAAGUUGGAAAGUGGAAUAGUAGCGCUGAAGCUCGUCCCGGCGAUUUUGAAAUUUCAGGAAGCAGCGAUAGGAAAAUUAAGAAAAUUAGCUACGAUUUCACGCCAGAAUCGGUAUGAAUUUGAGGUUCUGUCGUUAAAUCGUUGCUAUACCAAUCGAUUGCUACACUUCGAUCAACCAGUUAUUGUUCUUGUCUUUGAUUCAUGCUUGAAUUCAUUUUCGUAUGAGUUUUGGUUCUCAAUCGAGAAAGAAAGCGUUCAAUAGGAAGUUGUAUAGAUAUAGAAUGAUCGAUCUGUUUCUACUAGAGUCCACCUUCAACGACGAACAGGAUGUUAGCUCUGCGAAGUUGAGAAUAUCUCUGUUAAGUGAAUUAGAAUCUGUUUUAUGGAAGUUGCUGACUUGUGGAGGACGGUCGGAGGUUCGAUUAUGGCUUUCUAAUACCAUAGCUAGUGUGACAUCGAUCAGUCCCCAGCAUCAGCGGGACCUGUUUAUGACAUUACUGAGACGGAAGCCGUUGAAGUGGGCCUUUGCUUCUCAAUUACUGCAAACGUUGUUUGAAAAGAGGUCACGGGAGGCAGGGAUUCUCAUUGCUAAGAGAAGCUACAUAAUGGAAAAGUUUUUCGAAGGAAACCCGAGAAGAAUAUCUCAGUGGUUUUCCAAUUUUGCCACAAAUGGUGCAUCAGAUCAUGGAAAAGGUGCCAAGGCCUUAGCACAGUUUGCUUUUGUAAAUAGAGACAUUUGUUGGGAGGAGCUUGAAUGGAAGGGGAAACAUGGGCAAUCACCUGCAGUGGUUGCAACAAAGCCCCAUUAUUUUCUUGAUCUGGAUGUGCAUCAAACUGUGAAGAAUUUCAUUCAGAAUGUACCAGAGUUUUGGUCUUCCAAUGAAUUUGCCGAGUCACUAAAAGAUGGUGAAAUUUUGUUUCUUGACACGAAAUUCUUUGUGAAAUUUUUCAUCGAUCUGAUGCUUAAAGAUGAUUCAAAAGAUGUUUGGGAAGUCAUUAAUGAGUUCCUGAUGCAUGAGUCAUUUUCUUCACUGUGUCAACAUCUCCUUGUUACUCUUGAAGAUGCUGAUUUCUGCAACUUUCUAAAAGUGUUAUGCAAACUUCUUAGGCCUAGAAUAGAAACCAAGGAUUUUGGUAAUUCGUCUUUCAUGUUUGAGGUCAUACUUGCGAAGUAUGGUGACUCUGAAUCUAUUGAUCAGAUUUUACUAUUAAAUGCUGUCAUUAAUCAAGGACGGCAACUUCUACGCCUUUUACGUGAUGAAGAUGGGGAAGAACAAUUGGAUGAAAUCAAGGCUAUUAUCCACAAGAUUUCAGCGAUCUCAAGCAACAGUCAUUGCUUGUUCCCAUUGUUGAAGGAGUGUGACGGGAGGAAAAAGACAAUAGAGAUGAUAAAAUGGCUAGGGCUUCAGUCUUGGGUUCUUCACUAUAGAACGUCAGAGGAAUGCCAGACUCCUGAAUUAUGGGAAUCCUUGUUUGUUGAUAACGGCAUAGGAUUCCGAAAAUCUAAUGAAUAUUUGUUGUUGGAUCACAGUUGCUCGUCAGAAGAUGAUGGUUGUGAACCGUGUAAUAGAGCACGUGCUAAAUCUAAGAAGCGAAAAAAGGGGGAGAAAGGUGGAAAAAGAAGAAAAAGGAACUUUGACAGCCAGGAAAGCUGUGAUGACGAGCUGUUGGACUUGGAUAUUAGAAAUGAUAGGAUGGACUUGAAGUUAAACACUGGAAGUUGGUUCCUUUCCACUGAUGAUUACACUGUACCAUGGAAUGCUAAGGAUCUACCCGAACACUUAUCAAAGUAUUGUAUGGCAUCUUGGAUGAAAUGGCUGUUUGCUAAGAGAGAAUGAAGAACGAAGCUUUUCUAGUGUGAGAUAUAUUCAGCUUCUGAAACCAUCGUAGCUACCGACAAGCUUAAGUUUACCAAUAGAUACAAGCACAAGAUCGAAUGCGUAUUGAAGGCUUGAUCCCAUUGAUGUUUUUCUUCAGCUGGUUAAAUCCUUUUGUUAAAAAAGGAAGGUCGUUACAAAGAGAGGAGUAAAUUGUGAAAGAUGAAGCUGGGAAGUAGAAUGGAAGUUAUAAAAUGUAGAAAAGGAUUAUUUUAGUACUCAAGUGUACCUUUUUUUUCGAGAUGAAGUUGAGACGAGAGAUUCGAACAGAAAACCUUCUGAUUCUUUGUACGUAUAAGUGUCAAUUGAGUUGAAUGUACUUUUGUUCGGUAUAAAAAGGAAAAGAUUUUGAUUGAUCUUAUUAGCUUAUCCUCUUCCCCUGGGAAAUAAAAACAGGUCUCCCCAAUUUGUUCUU